GUAACCUCUUUNNCAGGGAAGAAGCGAGAGUGACGGUACCUGCAGAAGAAGCGCCGGCUAACUACGUGCCAGCAGCCGCGGUAAUACGUAGGGCGCAAGCGUUGUCCGGAAUUAUUGGGCGUAAAGAGCUCGUAGGCGGCUUGUCGCGUCGGUUGUGAAAGCCCGGGGCUUAACCCCGGGUCUGCAGUCGAUACGGGCAGGCUAGAGUUCGGUAGGGGAGAUCGGAAUUCCUGGUGUAGCGGUGAAAUGCGCAGAUAUCAGGAGGAACACCGGUGGCGAAGGCGGAUCUCUGGGCCGAUACUGACGCUGAGGAGCGAAAGCGUGGGGAGCGAACAGGAUUAGAUACCCUGGUAGUCC
rnacentral:rRNA from 1 species